GAUGAACGCUGGCGGCGUGCCUAAUACAUGCAAGUCGAACGGACGGACGAGCAUUUUGUUUCGCUUUUGUUAGCGUCGGGCGGGUGAGUGACGCGUAACUAACCUACCUAUUAGCCUGGAAUAACGUCGGAAAACGGGAGCUAAUACCGGAUAAUAUUUUGAACCGCAGGGUUGAGAAGGGAAUGGCGGUCUUGCUGUUACUGAUUGGUGGUUCCCCGCUGCAUUAGCUAGUUGGUAAGGUAACGGCUUACUAAGGCAACGAUGGAUAGCCGACGGGAGAGGGUGAUGGGCGACAGUCGAACUGAGACACGGUCCAGACUCCUACGGGAGGGAGCAGUAGGGAAGCUGCAGCAUGGGGCGAAAGCCGGACGGAGCUACGCCGCGUCAGUGAGGAAGGUCUUCGGAUCGGGAAACUCUGUUACUUGGGAAGAACAGAUGUGUACGUAAUUGUGCAGGUCUUGACGGUACCUGAUCAGAAAGCCCCGGCUAACUACGUG
rnacentral:rRNA from 1 species